GGGUCCUCAGACAAACAUAAAAUAAGUAAAAUAAGGAGACUGAAGACUCAGCCAUUACGACUGUCUGAUUUAGCAGGUCCCUGCUAAUGGCUGCCUAACCAAAACUACCUAAAGAAAACUAAUAAACAAAGCCCAUAAACGAAGACUACCAAGAUCCAACCCCGAACUAAAAUAACAAAACCCAGCAGUGUAAGACUGGACAAAGAGGAGAAAAAGAAUGUAACAAAACCAGCACAACUAAACCUCAAGGUCUGCUCCCUGCCUCCCUGAGCGAGGCCUCCUCCGACUUAGAUACCUGGCAGUUACUGGUUGAGGAAUAUGGCUACACCUGCCAGAACAGAAUGACGGGAUAGAAAAGGACAGAGUAGCAGCAGUUACUAAAACACUCUAUGCAUCUGCUCCUAGUCCGGCCCUACUGUCAAAUUUUAGAAGCUUUUGUGGCCCACAAGCCAAAAGUUUUGCCCACCCCUACAUUAGUCCAAGCUGCAACCUGGCCUGUUUUUUUGUCUUCUGUUCAUGGAAACCUACCUCCACUUCAUGGUCAUCAGGGUCAAACUUGUUUGGCUACCCGCUUACACGUUAAUCCCACGAUUGACUCCCAUUCUCGGGUUGACGCUCCAUCUGUGUGAAGGGUUCCUCACACUUCAGCUGAGAGCCACACGGCAGCGAGACAUUUGUUUGGUUUCACCGACACGUCCACGUCUGCCAAUUCUGUGUUUAUUAAGAACUGAUGAUUGUGAGCCGUUUAUGUAAUCUCAGUUUUGUCAAACAGCCGCUUUGGAUCUAUGAACGUAAAACACCCCAUAAUAUUAGGAGACACAUUUAAAAAUCUGCUCAUUAAUUGGGUUGGAAGUGUUGCUUGCGGUUGCAUUUUAAUGUGGAAACAUUUGCAAACAUUGAUGAUGAUAAAACGUAAGCACGCCUGUUCAUUUUCUGAAUAACGACGGACAACUGCAUAACCUUAAGCAAAUGUCACUCAAGUCGUUAAAUUAUUUGAGUUUAUUUGCAGAAGAUAUGAUUCACAUGAAUACGCACCAGUAUGAAGUGGAUAAAUAAGCGGCAGGGCAUGUCCAAGAUAAACCAUGAAAUAAACAGGUAUUAGGUUUUGAUCCACAACCAUUUAUUGUGGAAAUAACAUUUUGAAAAUAACCCAGAACAGGUGAAACUUACAAAGUAGUCUUUAUGUAGCUAUUUUAUAGUAUUGAUAGAUGAUUUAAGGCUAUGGAACCCCCUCACUUUAUACACUUUUCUAAGACAGACAUGAACAUUUUCACACCUUUCUCUUCUAUAAAAGCAAAGUUUAAAUCUUAAUUUAAAAAUAAUAUUGCAGAAUGAAAACUGAUUCCUGUUGAAGAUGUAUGUAGAUUUGGAGAACUGGAUGCACUAUGCACAGAAGACACUCCAUGGAGGAGGUUGAUUGACAACGAUCUACAGCCAAUCAGGUGGAAGAAAUCUGUAAAAAUAAUAAGAAGAAAACCAUGUAAAAUUGCACAAAAAAAUCUGCAAAACAGGGAGACUGAAAAAGGUGAACCGUGAUAUAACGAAGGACCAGUAUAACUCAUAUUUGAUGAUGUUCAGACCAGCAUAGGCCUCGUUUCCACUGGGUGGUCUGGUACGGUAUGGUCCAGUAAGGAGUGGCACGGUCCAGUUCAUUCUGGCGAGGGUUUCACUUAGUUAAGCCUCGCUCUCACUGAGCGGUUGGCUUUCACGGCGCAUGCGUGGUGUAGCGUGUCAUUGCGUCAUUGUAGAAAAGCAACAACAAUGGAGGUCAUCCAGCAGCUCGUCUUUUUCUUGUUUUUGUUUUUUGUACAUCGUGUAUAACAGGAAUUUAAUGUUGUUUGAAAGAAGAUUGAGAAGAAUACAGUAAAGAGGAAAGCAGAAUUGCUAGCUUAGCGCUAUACUUGCUAAUGUCGUCAUUACUUUCUGCCAAUCAACGGGUGGCUACAGUGAUUUCACCCCAACUGUCCCAUUCUAUUUUUCUAUGGACCUACAACGGAUGGGGGUUCUCAAGAGGUGCGGGUCAGAACUGUUUCAUUUUACAGUGGAAAUGCUCAAAAUACCGGAUCGAACUGGACCGGUUAGUGGAAACGAAGCUAUAGAGAUCGGAGUCCAACACACAAAUGUCAGACCUGAGUCAGCUUUCAGUCACAACUGCUCUUACGAGUGGAUAUGGCCUGUCUGCAGGUGAAAAAUGAUCAAACUUGUACAAAAUAUCAAUGUCAAAAUGGGGAACCAGUAGAGUCAAAAUAACCAUGCAUGUUUUCCACUGGGAUGCUGCAAGCGACAGGUCACAGUGAACUCUUGGAACAACAUGCAGGCAUGUCGUGGAAAUGUUUCAUUUGUUUAAACUCCCCAAACCUUUCACACUGAGGAAGAGACCCAUGGGUGUUGUUCAGACGAUAAGUGUGACCUCUUUGCCUGCAGUCUAACUUUAGAAUUUAGGAAAUUAGACAAAUCAGGGUGCAGCUUGUGUGGGAAUUCUACAUUAUUCAUUUUCUAAAUAGUCUUGUGACCUGAAUCAUUUAUGCGUUUAAAAAAAAAGUUAUGCUGCCAGCAUUGGUUGUUUUGAGGAACUCCUGGUUAAAGAGCUGAGUCUGCAGUGAAAUGUAUUCAUUUGUUGUUUAAAAACUGACACGCUUGUGUCUGCUUUUUCAUUGUCAAGGCUUUGAAAAGUUUUAGAAGGAGUUGAAUUUUCUCCUAACUUGGGUUCAGAAUAGCUAUUAGUAUGACCCCCCCCACCCCAUUCCUAAAUCCUCUUUGACUCUUCUAAGAGAGGGCACACUGACCGCUGUCAGCUGCAGGUAAGACAAAACCUCUAGUCAAGAUUAUAGCCGUCCAGACACUUCAAACUGUUUAUGUAGUUUGAUAAUUUACUUGUAUUUUUAGCUACAUCCAACCUCAGUCACUACUUUCUUAAACCUAAAAGUGUACAGGCUGAAUUUUAACUAUCGACUGUAUAUGAGAACUAGACUGAGUGAGUGUGACGUCACCAAUAGAAACCGAUUUACUUUUGAUGAAGUAGAGUAAUUUCGGUCACCAUUUUUUUUUUAUACUGUCGCUGACAUGUUAUAGCCAGACAAUGUCGGUAAGCAGUGAUUGAUCCAAGUUGGUAUGAGUCAAGAUUUCUAUGGUUACCACUCUCAGCCAAUCAGAGUGAGGUUGUUGGGAGGCCACACCCCUACUACUUGAAAGGGGGCUCGGGAGAAUCUGAUAAUCAAACAUUUUGAAAAGUUUUUUGAGGCAUCUGAUUGGUCAGUUUAUAACUUGAAUAACUUGCAUUAUAUAUAUAGUGAGCAUCAAUGCAUUCUGUUUUUUCUCAUAGUUUGUGGAUUGUGGAUUUGGACACUUGGACAAAAAGUCCUAUAUAAUGCACUAUAGUGAGGGAAUCGGACACAAUCCAAGUGUGACCCUUGAGACAAUUUUUGUUUUUAAAUGAACUGAACCAAAGAGUUUCGCAAAAAACCAACUUUAAAGAAAUCCACUUUUGACGUUAAUCUUAUUGCUUAAAAUCUGAGCAUUCCCCAAACGUCUCAAGAACUGAAUGAAAGUGGCAGGUUCUUACAGAUUAGUUGUUUUGCCAGGAGUUUUAAUGGCAACAUGAGUGAGGUUUCACUUGAAGUGGUGGUGUGUUCAUGCAGUCAGCUUGUUACUGGAGUUCAUUUCAGGCGUUAUUUCUGCUGCUCAAAUGUCUUGAGGGUUGUGCUCAGCAUUCAGCUGAGAAAACAAAUGAAAACUGUUGCAGCGCCUCCGGUCUGCAUGUUUACGGUGAAGCAUUAAGCCUUCUUUAAUUACCCAAGAAGUAAAUCAUGCAUGCCUGAAGUAAUGAAGCUCCUGGAAGGAGCUCUAAACUCUGCUUGAUGUCAUGGAAAAUUCUGCAAGUAAUGAAAUGAAAAUUCAUGUUUUUUUGUUUUUUUCUUGAAAUGUUUAAUUAACAUAACACUUAACUUCUAAAUGCAUGGGUGUCUUAAAUGAGCUGAUUUGACGCCAAUGAACUGCUAAAAAUCACAACCAUGAUGUGACGGAUUUUUCAAUACUGACCAAUAACACUAACAAGUGUUAAUCAUCAGCCAAUCACAGUGGAUUUUGAUCAGAGGAGAGGUGGAGCAAAGAUGGAGGAGCAGCUAUCCGCCUGAGCUUACGAUUCAACAAACACUACAUGGUUUCCCAGCAAGAUAGCUAUCCUUCCUGAACGCCCGAUUGGCUUCAGCGAUGUCGAUGCACAGAAAUGAAGAUCCUGGUUCCCCCCAAACAAGCUUUAUCAGACUCCAGGCCUGAAAUACUCAUCUUUGAGUUGACUUUUCAUAUCUUUGAUAACAUUUAAUUGUAUUUAAAUAUAAUAUAUAACUGUUAAUAAUUCUUAAAAUGUAAUCUCCAAAGAUACUCUUAGUCUUGAGUAAAUGGAUGUGUGGGGGGGAUGUAAACGGAGACCUGCACAGAUGAGUGGAGAUGCCCUGAACUGUGAUACUCCUAACAGUCAAAUGAAUUAAUGGUUUUUGGAUUGAGUGUACAGUUCUGAUCCAUAACUGCUGCUGGCGUGAAUUGUUCUCAACAGUAAAAUGAGCUGAAAUAAAAAAGGGCCUUAUGUUCUAAACCUA